rnacentral:rRNA from 1 species
UCAAGUUGAUCCUGCUUGAGGCUGCCGCUAUUGGGAUCCGAUUAAGCCAUGCAAGUCUAAAGGGAGUUUACUCCCUUGGCAAACUGCUCAGUAACACGUAGACAAUCUACCCUCAUGUGGAGGAUAACCUCGGGAAACUGAGGAUAAUACUCCAUAGGCCUUUGGUACUGGAAUGUCCAAAGGCUCAAAGCUUUCGCGCGUGAGGAUGGGUCUGCGGUCGAUUAGCCUGUAGGUAGUGUAAUGGACUACCUAAGCUAUAAUCGAUAGGGGUCGUGGGAGCGAUUGCCCCGAGACGGAAUCUUAGACACUAUUCCGAGCCUUACGGGGUGCAGCAGGCGCGAAACCUUUACAAUGUGCGAAAGUGCGAUAAGGGGAUCUCAAGUGUGCUUGUACCACAAGUACUUUUCUAGAGUGUAAAUUACUCUGGGAAUAAAGGGUGGGUAAGACCAGUGCCAGCCGCCGCGGUAACACUGGCAUCCUAAGUGGCAGUCACCAUUACUGGGCUUAAAGCGUCCGUAGCUCGUUCGAAGGGUUCCUAGUGAAAUCCUGCGGCUUAACCGUAGGGCUUGCUGGGAAAACUAGCGAACUAGAGGAUGGGAGAGGCUAGAGGUACUUUUUGGGUAGGGGUGAAAUCCUAUAAUCCUAAAAGGACCAACAGUGGCGAAGGCGUCUAGCAUGAACAUGCCUGACGGUGAGGGACGAAAGCCAGGGUCGCGAAACGGAUUAGAUACCCGUGUAGUCCUGGCCGUAAACGAUGCUGACUAGGUGGGGCGUGACCUUCGUGGUCAUGCUAUGCCGAAGAGAAAUCGUUAAGUCAGCCGCCUGGGGAGUACGUUCGCAAGAAUGAAACUUAAAGGAAUUGACGGGGGAGCACUACAAGGAGUGGAAGCUGCGGUUUAAUUAGAUUCAACGCUGGACAACUCACCGGAGGCGACAGCAGGAUGAAGGACAGGCUGAUAGUCUUUCCGAACGCGCUGAGAGGAGGUGCAUGGCCGUCGUCAGCUCGUGCCGUAAGGUGUUCGGUUAAGUCCGAAAACGAGCGAGACCCACGUCCUUAUUUGCCAUCUGUCUUUCCGAAGGCAGAGCACAAUAAGGAGACCGCCCACUAUAAGUGGGAGGAAGGGGUGGGCAACGAUAGGUCCGCAUGCCCCGAAUCUUCCGGGCUACACGCGUCUUACAAUGGUCGGCACAAUGAGUUGCAACCCCGAAAGGGGGAGCUAAUCUCGAAAGCCGAUCUUAGUACGGAUCGAGGGUUGGAACUCACCCUCGUGAAGCUGGAAUCCCUAGUAAUCGCAACUCAUUAUAUUGCGGUGAAUACGUCCCUGCUCCUUGCACACACUGUCCGUCACUCCAACCAAGCAGGGUCUAGAUAAGGUUUGGCCUUAUGGCUAGUUCAAAUCUGGGUUCUGUGAGGGGGGGGAAGUCGUAGCAAGGUA